rnacentral:rRNA from 1 species
GGAUAACGUUUGGAAACGAACGCUAAUACCGCAUGAUAUUAUUGAGCUGCAUGGCUUGAUAAUCAAAGGAGCAAUCCGCUGAAAGAUGGGCUCGCGUCCGAUUAGGUAGUUGGCGGGGCAACGGCCCACCAAGCCGACGAUCGGUAGCCGGACUGAGAGGUUGAACGGCCACAUUGGGACUGAGACACGGCCCAGACUCCUACGGGAGGCAGCAGUGAGGGAUAUUGGUCAAUGGGGGAAACCCUGAACCAGCAACGCCGCGUGAGGGAAGACGGUUUUCGGAUUGUAAACCUCUGUCCUCUGUGAAGAUAAUGACGGUAGCAGAGGAGGAAGCUCCGGCUAACUACGUGCCAGCAGCCGCGGUAAUACGUAGGGAGCAAGCGUUGUCCGGAUUUACUGGGUGUAAAGGGUGCGUAGGCGGCUUUGCAAGUCAGAAGUGAAAUCCAUGGGCUUAACCCAUGAACUGCUUUUGAAACUGCAGAGCUUGAGUGGAGUAGAGGUAGGCGGAAUUCCCGGUGUAGCGGUGAAAUGCGUAGAGAUCGGGAGGAACACCAGUGGCGAAGGCGGCCUGCUGGGCUCUAACUGACGCUGAGGCACGAAAGCGUGGGUAGCAAACAGGAUUAGAUACCCUGGUAGUCCACGCUGUAAACGAUGAUUACUAGGUGUGGGUGGACUGACCCCGUCCGUGCCGGA